rnacentral:misc_RNA from 1 species
GUGCACUGUGUGUGAGUGUUAUGUCUUUUUUCGGAUGCGCGAAAAGUCGUGAAUUAUUUUUCGUGGUUUUUCACAGUUCUCGGCCUAAUUUCUGCCUUUUAUUUAUUUGCAAGUGUGAUAAGGAACGGGUGUUGCGGCAUCUCGCGAUAGAAGUGUGAUGUUUGGAUGUGCCGUGAGUCUACAAUUUAGCUUAGAAAAUUGUGUGUGGCCGUCGCGACGUUUCCUUCCUGCCUGUGGCUCUUGUGUGUGACACGCACCGCUCCUCCAUCCUGCCCCCGGGCUCUUGACAUUUCUUGUAUCAAUUGUGUCCAACGGUGAACCCACCUUUUGCCAAAAACACCUUGGAAGCGGGCAAACCAACUUGAAUCAUUCGUUUCGGCUGUGCUAAUCGCGUAAUAGCCCCCGUGGGAGAAUUUUCCGGGCGUUUUUCCCUACGGGAAGAUGUCACUAAGUGGCCUUUCGGUGAUUCCAUGGCAUUUGAUUUGAAUGCGACGUGGGAAAGUGGCCGCUUUUCGAAAAAACACAGCCGUCGCGAUCGUCGGCAAGGUGAGGAAAAACUAUGAUAAGAUUUUGACAGCGACGACAGCAGCGGAGCGGCAGUCGGAGUCAUUGUCAUCAGCGAACGUUGGUGUGAUCUCAUACGGGAAGGAAUUAAGUGUGGAAUUUCGCGGAGAUUGUGUACGGCCAGCAGCUGCCGGAGAGCCUCAUGCCGCCGCCACCGCCGAGUAAAAUGUCUGGAGUCGUUGACGCCGAUCGCAAAAUGAGGGUUCAAAGGCUCGAAGAUCUUGUGCGGGAUCCGUCCAGCAUAAUGAAUAUUGACUGUUUGCUGGACACGGUCACCGCUUUGGCAGCUGAUUGCGAUCAUGAGCCUGUUAAAAAGCUUAAAAACAUAGAGGCAUAUGUAAAUAGAUAUGAGGGCUUUGCAAAAAAGAUCGUUGACUUACGCAUGAAACCCGAUGACUUCAAUUUAAUUAAAGUAAUCGGUCGUGGAGCAUUCGGUGAAGUUCAAUUAGUUCGUCAUAAAUCCACUAAGCAAGUUUACGCAAUGAAACGAUUAUCCAAAUUUGAAAUGAUCAAACGACCUGAUUCGGCAUUUUUCUGGGAAGAACGGCACAUAAUGGCACACGCAAAUUCUGAAUGGAUAGUUCAGUUGCAUCAUGCAUUUCAGGACAAUAAGUAUUUAUAUAUGGUGAUGGAUUAUAUGCCAGGUGGCGAUAUCGUUAGUCUUAUGUCAAUGUACGAAAUACCAGAGAAAUGGGCAAUAUUUUAUACGAUGGAAGUCGUCCUAGCCUUAGACACUAUUCAUAAUAUGGGCUUCGUACAUCGUGACGUGAAGCCUGAUAACAUGCUCCUGGAUAAGUACGGACAUUUGAAAUUAGCUGAUUUUGGAACGUGUAUGCGAAUGGGACCAGAUGGAUUAGUUAAAAGUAGUAAUGCCGUCGGCACACCGGACUAUAUUAGCCCGGAAGUGCUGCAAUCGCAGGGCGGUGAAAAUGAAUACGGUCGUGAGUGUGAUUGGUGGUCCGUUGGAAUAUUCCUCUAUGAAAUGCUUAUCGGUGAUACUCCGUUUUAUGCGGAUAGUUUAGUUGGCACUUACGGAAAAAUUAUGGACCAUAAAAAUUCUUUAAAUUUUCCAACAGAAAUAGAAAUUAGUGAAAAUGCCAAGUCUUUGAUACGUGGAUUUCUGACGGAUCGAAUACAUAGGUUGGGACGUAAUGGAAUUGAGGAAAUUAAGUGCCACCCGUUCUUCCAUAAUGACACCUGGACAUUUGAUAAUUUAAGAGAGUCUGUGCCACCCGUCGUACCUGAGUUGAGUAGUGAUGAUGAUACGCGGAAUUUCGAUGAUAUCGAAAGAGAUGAAAGUCCAGAGGAAGUUUUUCCUGUGCCAAAAACAUUUGCCGGUAAUCAUCUGCCAUUCAUUGGAUUCACAUACAAUGGAGACUACCAGCUCUUUUCAAACGAUGCUGUAGAUACGAAUCGUACGCACAAUCACGGACAUAGACCGUCGAACACGGCAGAAUUGAAACGCUUAGAAGCCUUAUAUGAACGUGAAAAAGCGAACGUAGAAAAUUUGGAAAAGCAAGAGCGAACAUUGAAAUUGCAGAUCGAAACCCUGACACAGCGAGAGAAUGAAGUUCAAUUGCUAGCCAACAAAUAUGAAAAAGACUUAGCUAUGCUGAAACAUAACUACAAGGAAGCGCAACGGAAAGCGGACCAUGAAGCGGAGAUGAGGCGAAAGACAGAAAAUCUUUUAGCUGAAACCAAGCGGAAUCUGGAUGAGGAGCAGAGUAGGCGGACUCGAGAGAUGAAUAAUAACCAACAGCAUAACGACAGAAUAAAUAUGCUUGAGAAACAACUUGCUGAUAUGCAAGAGAAACUCAAAAGUGAGACAGAGAAUGGUCAAAAGUUAAAGAAGCAGAUUGUUGAGUUGCGGCUAUCGAGAACUGAAGUUGAACAAAAAGCAGCACAGCUUCAAGGUGUCCUUGCAGGUCUUCAAGCGCAACGAGACGCCCUGCAACAAGAGGUUGCUGAAUUGCAGAGCCGCCUAGUCCAAGAGAAGAAUGGUCGCGCUCAGCUUAAAGAGCUCAACAAAGAGUUGGAGAACAAAUUGCAAACGGUGAAUAUGGAUUUAGAACGCGUUUUAAACAGGGAGCAACAAGCAAUGGACGAUAAUCGUUUACUGGGGGAACGAAUCUCUGAACUAGAGAAAGUUAAUGCCGGACUAGAUUUGGAGCUUAAAUCUGAAAAGAACCGAUAUCAACAGGAAGUAAAAGCGCAUCAAGAGACCCAAAAGUCGAGGCUUCUAAGUCGUGAAGAGGCUAACAUGCAGGAAGUAAAGGCUCUCCAAACCAAACUGAAUGAAGAGAAGGCAGCACGGACUAAAGCGGAUCAAAACUCACAAGAGAAGGAACGUCAAAUAUCAAUGUUGUCGGUCGACUACCGGCAAAUCCGUCAAAAACUGCAGAAGCUAGAAGGUGAAUGCCGACAGGAGGUGGAAAAAGUGAUGGCCCUUCAGAGUCAAAUCGAUCAGGAGACCAGCAAAAGAAACUCUCUAUUGUCUGAACUCAGUUUACAAAGCUCUGAAGUAGCUCAUCUAAAAGCCCGCGAAAGUCAACUACUAAAGGAAGUCAACCAGCUGCGCGAGACCAAACGUCGUCUCGAAGAAGAUAUUGUGAAAAUCAAAAAUGCUCAUAAUGCUGAUAUUCUCCAAAUGCGCGAGCUUCAGGACCAACUUGAGGCCGAGCAGUAUUUCUCAAGACUGUAUAAGACCCAAAGUAGUGAGUUGCGUGAAGAAAACACCGAAAAAAUCAGAGUCAUUCAAGAGCUUGAGGAAGAAUGCUCGUCAUUGAAACAUCAAGUGCAAGUAGCAGUGGCUCGUGCUGAUGCUGAAGCUUUGGCACGAACAAUAGCCGAAGAAACCGUUGCCGAUCUUGAGAAGGAAAAGACAAUAAAGGAGUUGGAAUUGAAAGAUUUCAUGACCAAACAUCGCAAUGAAAUUGCCGCUAAAGAAUCUGCAUUGGCUGCCGUCAACGAGGCUGAGGCUGAAGUGAUUAAAAAAUUAAAUCAAAAGAUAGCAGAAUAUGAUGAGCUUGUUCAACAGAAUAAGAAUUUGCAGGAAGAAUUGGCACAGAACAAAGUCGAUAAGAAUGAAAUUAUUAAAUUACAGGAAAAAGUUAAGACUGAGAAUUUGUUGAAACAAGUAGCAGUCAAUAAACUAACGGAAAUAAUGAAUCGUAAGGAUGCCAAUAUCCAAGGCAAACAAAAUAAGGCUAAGACUAACUCUGCGGCUGAUCUAAAGAAGAAGGAGAAGGAAACCAGGAGGUUACAACAAGAACUGACACAGGAAAGGGAGAAAUAUACACAACUUUUGCUGAAAUUCCAAGAUAUGCAAAGUCAAUUCGCUGAGGAAUGUAAUGCAAAGACAAAAUUACAAAUGGAAGUAGAUUGCAAAGAUACGCAAAUCGAACAAUUGCAAUCAAAAUUGAAUGAAACUGCGUCGCUUUCUUCGGCUGAUAAUGAUACCGAGGAUAAUCAGGAUACCGUCUUCGAGGGUUGGUUAAGUGUGCCAAAUAAACAAAAUAUACGUCGUCAUGGUUGGAAACGGCAAUUCGUAGUCGUCUCAUCGAGAAAAAUUAUAUUUUAUAAUUCCGAGAUAGACAAGCAGAAUACAAUCGACCCUGUGCUUAUUUUAGAUUUAAGCAAAGUAUUUCAUGUUCGAUCCGUUACACAAGGUGAUGUUAUACGUGCUGAUGCCAAAGAAAUCCCAAGAAUAUUCCAGCUAUUGUAUGCUGGUGAAGGUGAGGCUAGACGACCUGAUGAUCAGCAAAAUCAAGUGGAUAUGAGUUCGUUACGCGGUACCGGUAUUAUCCAUAAAGGACACGAAUUUACCCAAAUUAGUUAUCAUAUGCCAACAGCUUGUGAAGUUUGUACGAAACCAUUGUGGCAUAUGUUUAAGCCGCCGGCGGCCUAUGAAUGUAAAAAAUGUCGCAAUAAAAUUCACAAAGAACAUGUGGACAAUAACGAUCCAUUGGCUCCAUGUAAAUUACAUCAUGAUCCUCAUAGCGCUAGGGAAAUGUUAUUACUAGCGGCUACAAAAGAUGAUCAAAACUUAUGGGUAAACCGUUUAUCGAAGCGUAUCCAAAAAAGUGGAUAUAAAGCGAAUUCAUCGUCAAAUAAUAAUAGUAGUGGAGACGGUAGUAAAAUUUCACCAAGGUAAAGUCAUGCGACGCUGAAGCGACAGAGCUGCGUGUGGUGGUCAAAGUUGUACUUACUUUUGUUUGCUCUUUGUGAUUUAAAAUUUAAAUAAGACGACUUCAUUAUGAAAAUUCUAUUCAACAUUCCCCAAACUAUGUACAUUUUACUAUUACAAUUGACGGCAAAUUUCGCAGAGUUUCAAGAUCGCAAUCAACUGAUGUGUCUGAGUCGAUGGAAGGCGUAAUAAGAGUAGUUUAGCAAUAAAAGUAACAAUAACGACUAAUUCUAGAUUUUUCUUAAAGUGCCUUUUGAUUUGUGCUUUUGUGUUUUUUGACUCUUUACUAUAGAUAGACAUGUGUACAUGCGUUUGAAGCAGAAAGGAUAAUAUCAUUUUAAAUGCUUUUAUAUCAUAUACAUACUUAGAUGUUACAAUAAAUGAAUCAUUGAAAAAGUCGGUUGAAUGUUAAUAUUAAUCUCUAAUUUUUCUAUUGGAGAAAAAUUAAAAUGGAAUAGAUAGAAAUUUUUAAAUUUUGUUAAAAUAUAAGAUAAUAAAUUUAUUUAAAUAUAGUCGCGGAUGUUAAUGAAAUUCGUCAAGAGUAUUUUUUAUAGACCAAACUUUAUAAAGAUUGAAUUGUAGUACUUAAGAUUUAUACCAAUUGAAGAAUCAGAGAAUUUUGUUUAUUGAACUGUUUGUAAAUAAAAUUUGAA